CAAAACUACGGCGUUUCGACCUUGAAUGCGCCAAUUCGGUACUGCAAGUCUGCGAGUGGUACAAACCAAACCCAAAGGGUGCUUUCACUGCUGAAGAACCGGAGGUUGUGGAUCUCAUCAGCUGAAACAGGCGGUGGAAGAAGACAUGGGCGAUCCCUACCGUAUAUACUUCACCUCGCCCGAAAGAGACAGUGUUGCAAGGCCAAGCUUUCCCGGCUACUUGUCGUCGGAAACACCCUCACUGCUAUUCAAUCCUACGAUUCCCUCUACCGAUACGCAGCGGAGUUAUGCUUCCGAUUUUCUGCAGGGAGAUAUAAGAUCAAUGACUACUGGUACUGGGGUAUAUGCUGUAGAUGAUGCCGGAGGUCUUCGGUUUCGUCAUGAGUCAGUUCUUGGUGUAACAGCAGGAGCCAGCACAAACGGUUAUUCAUCACUUUUAGAAGUUCCGAGUUUGAUAAGCCAGAGACAGGAUGUUGCUGCGGUAAGCAUUAGUCCAAAUGUUCCUGCUGACAUAAGUUUAGAAAGGCCAACUGGCUCUUCGAGAAAUGCCGAUGGUCUUCCUGUGAAAGGGGAAUCAAACGUUUUGUUUGUCGAUGGACUUCCCACAGACUGUACCCGAAGAGAAGUAAGCCAUAUAUUUCGUCCAUUUGUUGGCUUUAAAGAUAUCAGAGUCGUUCACAAGGAGCCUAGACGUAGUGGCGAUAAGGCUAUGGUUCUGUGCUUUGUGGAGUUUGCUGAUCCGAAGUGUGCUCUGACUGCUAGGGAAGCUCUUCAAGGUUACAAGUUUGAUAACAAGAAACCCGAGUCCCCUGCAUUGAAGAUCCAUUUUGCACAUUUUCCAUUCAGUCUACCAGAUGACGGCAAUGAACAUAGAAUUCGAAUCCCACGGUGACAAAAAAUGGCGGAUACGAAAUCUGUCUGAGUUGUCUCGGUGCGUGGAUGUUACAGAAACGAGUAAUGUGCACAAGCAGCUCCAGCGCAAGUUUACGACGACGACACAGGAAUGCCGGAAGAUGCGGCUUGCUGGAGCCUGUUUCGUGAUGUUUACGCAGGAGAGAAUCUUGCAUACAAUCAAAGUUGCGACGGAAUAUCUUGUAGGCACCCAAGAUUCUCCCAUGUAUGAGACACGAGAUAAACUUUGGUAAGAAUAUCUUAUUAAAGGCAAUAUUCACACGACAAGAUCAAUGCGAGGUCGGGAGGUUGGGUAGUACUUAAAGUAUAAAGUGUCCUAUGGUGUGAAAGGUGUUGUCUGAAUAACGUACUCAGACAAUCUACGCGAGAGAGAUCAUCCAAGCACUGAACGGAUUAUGCCCUUUCUCGAGCCACGAAAUGGAGGUCAUGGUGCAUUUCUGUAUUCUCUUAGUAAGGAUAGUAAGGAUUUGAAGAUCCGUCAAUCUUAUCCGUUUUAUAUAUCGUGUGAUCAAAAAUUAUUUUAAAUAUUUUUAUUUAAAAUUAAAUACAUUACUUGACAAAAAUUGAAUAAACGAUGUACAAUGAACGAACACGAUUUAUAUAUUCUCAAAAUCCUCAUCAAAAAGAUCCGAAGAGGAUCCUGUUGGAUAGAAAAGAAGGGAACAGAUGUUCUUCGGAUCCGCUUUCAUCCGGAUCCCGCGGAUCUCUCUCCCAUCACUCACCUCCCCCCCCUCCACCUCCCACCCCAAUUCAAACUGCAUGUUUCCCCGACCUUCAAACCCUCCGAUUUUCUUCUUCUUUCUGUUUGCGGUUCUGGUUCGUCGAUCGAGAAGAAGGCAAGAACGUUGAGGAGAAAGAGAGAGUGAGAGAGUUAAAAGAGCAAGAGUGAUCUUAGCCGCACAAUUUUACGUGCACGACUGAGGUUAUUUGGUCCGAAGGAACCAGAUGGAAAUGAUUUGGUCCGAAGGAACCAGAUGGAAAUGAUCCGGAGAGGAUUUUGUUCCAGAAAAAUAGGGAAAAAAAACAUCCAAAAU